rnacentral:rRNA from 1 species
UACGUAGGGGGCAAGCGUUGUCCGGAUUUAUUGGGCGUAAAGAGCGUGUAGGCGGCUAGGUAGGUCCGUUGUGAAACUCGAGGCUCAACCUCGAGACGUCGAUGGAAACCAUCUAGCUAGAGUCCGGAAGAGGAGAGUGGAAUUCCUGGUGUAGCGGUGAAAUGCGCAGAUAUCAGGAAGAACACCCGUGGCGAAGGCGGCUC